AAUUGCAAAUUUGAAAGAGUUUUUUUGGUUCCGGGGCUU
rnacentral:tRNA from 1 species